AUUGAACGCUGGCGGCAGGCCUAACACAUGCAAGUCGAGCGGAUGACGGGAGCUUGCUCCUUGAUUCAGCGGCGGACGGGUGAGUAAUGCCUAGGAAUCUGCCUGGUAGUGGGGGACAACGUUUCGAAAGGAACGCUAAUACCGCAUACGUCCUACGGGAGAAAGCAGGGGACCUUCGGGCCUUGCGCUGUCAGAUGAGCAUAGGUCGGAUUAGCUAGUAGGUGAGAUAAUGGCUCACCUAGGCGACGAUCCGUAACUGGUCUGAGAGGAUGAUCAGUCACACUGGAACUGAGACACGGUCCAGACUCCUACGGGAGGCAGCAGUGGGGAAUAUUGGACAAUGGGCGAAAGCCUGAUCCAGCCAUGCCGCAUGUGUGAAGAAGGUCUUCGGAUUGUAAAGCACUUUAAGUUGGGAGGAAGGGCAGUAAGCUAAUACCUUGCUGUUUUGACGUUACCGACAGAAUAAGCACCGGCUAACUCUGUGCCAGCAGCCGCCGUAAAAC
rnacentral:rRNA from 1 species